UGCUCACGUAAUUCAGUGAACUUUACUAGUAAGGUUCAAAACAAAUGCUUCCAGGGAACUCUUAAUGCAGACCUGGGUUUACAUUGUCUUACGCUCCUCUUAUGGUACCCUGGAGCACCGGCUUUCCCUUAUUGUCCAAUACUUGGUUGGCAUCUCAGUAAAUAGUCAUAGUUUUUCAUGAACUCUGAAUUCUGUGUUUUAUUUUUUUGUAGCUACAAGAAUCUACAAGUGACCAUGAAGUUAAGUUGUAUGCUGGUUCCCACCCCCCCCCUCUGAUAUUUAGGGUGGAGUAGGUACUAAAAUACCUGAGAAGAUAGACAAUCUUUGGUCCACUGAAAAACUAUGCAAGUUGGAAAAGCUUUGUCAGGAUGAUGGAAGUCCAUCAGUCAAGUUCCUGAUGGGAGUUAGUGGCAUUGGGUACAACCUUUUUUGCCCUGUUUGUUUGAUGGAAUUAUGAACAGAAACUGGGAGACUGGAGACUGUGAGAAGAAAGAAUUUCGGCUUAUGCUGCAGUGCCCAAACUGAGACACCAGAUGUGAAAUUCACUGAAAGAAAGGGGUACAGAGUUGCCCAAUAUGGACUUUGCAGUAGAGAAGUAAAGUGCAGAAUUGUGAAGAGUAAUCUAAUCACACAACUUUAAUGGCGAAAAAAGUUCAACUAUUCAUUGGAGUGUUGUGCUUAUGAUGCACUCUCCAUCCAAACUGGAGUUUGGACUGCUUUGCUCUACUGUAGGCUGCAAGCUGGUACUUAUCUAAAGAUGCUUCUGCUGCUGCUGUGACCUGUUAUGAGAAUUUUCCUGUUUCUUCUUACAAACUGCCAGGAACUUUGUGAAGGAAGGAAUUAAGACUUUAGAAGGCACAGAGUCAAGCCAGGGGAUAAGGAUUAGCUCCUAACUCGUCCAAAUUUCACAACAGAAUCAUACGAACAGUGCUCGAAGGUAGCAGUUGGAGAAGAACUCAAGUGGCCAUGGUGGGACCAUGCGCACCAUGUUCAAAACUGUCUUGAAUGUGUGGAAGACUAGGAGAAUCUAACUUAAGGGACUAUGACCAUCCUGGUAAAAAUCACUUGCUAGAAAAGCCUAUGUGUAAUGCAGCCAGAUCUAAAAUCAUGGCUUAGCUGGGUAAACUGAAAAGUAAUACCUUAGGUUGUGAUUUAUUCGUGUGAUGUGUGUGGAUCCUAGUUUGCAUUCGCAGUUCUGCAAGCUCAUUAUAAUUUGACCAUUUUCUCUGUGUAACCCUGUCUGCUUUAAGAAAUUGUUCUGGAAUAGGCAUUGUCUUCAAAGCAGAAGGUAAGAAAGGAAUGUUGCAAGAAAUGGAAAUGUGAUUGCAGCUGAGAAUCUGAGAGGAGCAUGUGUCAGUAUGGAGACAGACAACUUUCAAAGGAUAGGCAAUGUUGAGCUUUCAAAAUAAAGCCAAGAACAGAAGGGGAAGCAUGAAACUGGAGGGUACAUUUAUGAGACUGUACUGUCUAAAUAUGUCUAAUCAUUAUAGUUCAUUCCCCCCCAUUUGCUGCAUUAUCAUUUUAGGUGAUGACAGACUAGAGAUAAAACAACAUAGCUGAAAAGUGAAUUGUGUAGAGAUUAAAAAACAGUUCAAUAGGAAAAGUGGCAGAAGAGAUCUGCAGAAAGAGGUCUGCUUUCUUGCAAUUAUCAGCACAAGCUUUAUCUGUGUUUUUCUUAGGCUGCUGUGAUUUGCUCACACUGUUGCGUGGUGAGCAGCCUGAUAACAAUUAGGGCUGGGGAACGGAAAGUAGGAAGUCCUAUGGUCCUUCCUGCUCUAAUAUCACUUUAGGUGUACACUAAGGUGAACACUACUACUCAUAGUAUAAAACAGUGUUUCACAGUACUGUAUGCCAUCUGGAUGUUCUAAUGGAAUAUGUAACUAAUCAGUUCAGCAGGGAUUUCACUUCAAUCUCCAAGAUGACUGGCAAUCAGCUCUGUGUCAUACAUUGCCAUUAAUGAAUGUGGAUUUCAGUAACUUGCUAAAUGCUGACCUACACUCAAAGUCCAAAUUAAGGUACAGAUAAGCUAUAGUAAUAUGCUGUUGUUGAAAGCUUUAAGGCUUUCUUCAAAGUGUUUUGAUUUUCCUUUUUGGUUUAUUUUACUGUGUAUGUUCCGUGAAUCCCUUUGAAACUGUUAAACUUCUGUGUUACAAUUUCAUUCCUGUUUGACAAGCAUUAUCUAUUACUAUAGUUUCUCAAGAAUGCACAUCCUGGCAGAACUGCAUGUAUUCAGAGAUGUGUAUUUGUAAAGGUGGUUUUGAUGUGACAGGGCAUCGAUCAAACCGUAUGAAACUACUUCAAAUCUGUUUGAUUUCACUUUGAAUUUCUUGCUUUCUUUGCUUCCUUGCAGAGUAUCUGUCAGCUACCAAAUAAAGACAGUGUAUCCACCGAGGAGAAGUGAUAUCUGGUAAACCUAAAAAAUAGUUGAUCUCUGGUACACCGCAGGCAUUUGUUUAAGGUUGUGUGUUCAAAUGUACUUCCACGCCCAGAGCAUGGCACUUACUAGGUAUCUAACUCCUCUGUGUAGUAUUGCACUGGUUUUGGAUGGGGUGGAUUUGAUUUUCUUAAUAGCACCUUGUAUGGAUCUGUGACCAAAACAGUGUUGACAACACACCGAUGUUUUAGCUAUUGCUGAACAGUGCUCGCACAGUGUCAAGGCCUUCUCUGUUUCUCACGCUGCCCCCCACCAGCAAGUAGACUGGGGGUUGCACAAGAAGCUGGGAGGGGACAUAACCAGGACAGCUGACCCAAACUGGCCAAAGGGAUAUUCUAUACCAUAUGGCAUUAUGCGCAGCAAUAAAAGCUCAGGA